rnacentral:rRNA from 1 species
CAAGAACUUUAAGUUAAAACGUAGAGUGGAGAAAGAUGGUCUCGCGUCCCAUUAGUUAGUUGGUGAGGUAAUGGCUCACCAAGACGACGAUGGGUAGCCGACCUGAGAGGGUGAUCGGCCACACUGGAACUGAGACACGGUCCACACUCCUACGGGAGGCAGCAGUGGGGAAUAUUGCACAAUGGAGGAAACUCUGAUGCAGCGACGUCGCGUGAACGAUGAAGGCUUUCGAGUCGUAAAGUUCUGUCCUAGGGGACGAUAAUGACGGUUACCCUAGGAGGAACCCCCGGCUAACUCCGUGCCAGCAGCCGCGGUAAUACGGAGGAUCCGAGCGUUAUCCGGAAUUAUUGGGUUUAAAGGGUGCGUAGGCGGCCAUUUAAGUCAGCGGUGAAAUUUUGCAGCUUAACUGUAACAGUGCCGUUGAUACUGUUUGGCUAGGAUUUGGUUGUAGUGUGCGGAAUGUGUGGUGUAGCGGUGAAAUGCUUAGAUAUCACACAGAACACCGAUUGCGAAGGCAGCACGCUAAGUCAUUAUUGACGCUGAGGCACGAAAGUGUGGGGAUCAAACAGGAUUAGAUACCCUGGUAGUCCACACUGUAAACGAUGAUAACUCGCUGUCGGCGAUACACAGUCGGUGGCCAAGCGAAAGCAUUAAGUUAUCCACCUGGGGAGUACGACCGCAAGGUUGAAACUCAAAGGAAUUGACGGGGGCCCGCACAAGCGGAGGAACAUGUGGUUUAAUUCGAUGAUACGCGAGGAACCUUACCCGGGCUCGAACGGUGCAUGAAUAUACGAGAGAUUGUAUAGUCCUUCGGGACAUGUGUCGAGGUGCUGCAUGGUUGUCGUCAGCUCGUGCCGUGAGGUGUCGGCUUAAGUGCCAUAACGAGCGCAACCCUUGUCAUUAGUUGCCAUCAGGUCAAGCUGGGGACUUUAAUGAGACUGCCACCGUAAGGUGUGAGGAAGGGGGGGAUGACGUCAAAUCAGCACGGCCCUUAUGUCCGGGGCGACACACGUGUUACAAUGGGAGGUACAGAGGGCAGCUAUCCGGUGACGGAAUGCUAAUCUCCAAAACCUUUCUCAGUUCGGAUUGGAGUCUGCAACUCGACUCCAUGAAGGUGGAUUCGCUAGUAAUCGCGCAUCAGCCAUGGCGCGGUGAAUACGUUCCCGGGCCUUGUACUCACCGCCCGUCA